CUUGGUGACUCUAGCGAGGCUGCCCCACCCGUUCCCAUCCCGAACACGGUAGUGAACUGCCUCAGCGCCGACGAUACUGCUGGCGAGAGCGAGUGGGACAAUAGGUCGUUGCCAGGG
rnacentral:rRNA from 1 species